rnacentral:rRNA from 1 species
UACAGAGGGUGCGAGCGUUAAUCGGAAUUACUGGGCGUAAAGCGCGCGUAGGCGGUUUUGCAAGUCGGGUGUGAAAUCCCCAAGCUUAACUUGGGAACUGCAUUCGAGACUGCAUUGCUAGAGUAUGGGAGAGAGAAGUGGAAUUUCCGGUGUAGCGGUGAAAUGCGUAGAUAUCUGGAGGAAUACCGGUGGCGAAGGCGGCAUCCUGGACCGAGAUUGACACUGAGGAGCGAAAGCCAGGGGAGCAAACGGG